UCCUGUCACUUUGUUCCUCAGGCAGAAAUAAGGGCUUGUAAGGCUUUUGUACUGUCAGGAUACAGCGGUGUCCAGAAAUAUGAUGUGGUUUGGCCAGAGGGUGAACCGCUAGCUCCGGUAACCACUUUAAGGAGAGAGAUCCACUUCAUACAAGAGAAGGACCUGGAUCACCUCCUUGUGCAGCCAAGCAGAGCAGCCCCAUCCACUAAAGUUUCUGGAAUUAUUGAGAGAGGAUGAAUGGUGAAGGUCUACUGGGUCCCAAAUAUGGUGACAGGUACAGGAAGCUACAAGCAGGAUACUUUACAUAGAACACAUCUUUAAUUAUUCCUGUGGGAAAGUAUCAAGACGAAAUUAAUCAACAUCAGUAGCUUUCGAAGAAAACUUAUUGACAAUGGAAUCCAGUGAUUCUGAUGAAGGACUAAAAAGAAAUUCUCCACCCCAUGGGGUAAUUGCCAGUUGUGUCUUAUUUUGCCUUUCCUGCCGAUUGAUACAACAAUUCAGCAAUCACAAAGCAGUGUAACCUCCGGUGGGGGUCUGAACUCCCUGUCUACUUUUGUUUGAACAAAAAAUACAAUCUGACUACGAAGAAGGUUCAUGGAGGGAACAUGGAGGGAACAGGAUACAUUGAAGGCCAGGAAUAACAACCAUACCGGUAGGGACUUUCACCACCACAUGUUCAAAGUGUUUGUGAAACAGAUAGACGAUUACACUUUCACAUUAUUCCUCACAGUAAAGUGUGCAGUCUGGUGUCUAGGAUUAGAGAUGAGCUAGCCAAGACCGGACAACACAGUCUCACUCAUAACUUUGGGGUGACAGAGACUCGCCAGGCUUUCGAACAUUGACAAGGUCGGCUCGUGGAAGCCUGGCAAUGGAGGUUAUGAUAGCAGACGAAUUGAGGAAUAUAUAUGGCGUUUUGGUACCUGAAUAAAUGGAGGAAGCACUAGGAACACUGAAAUGACGUCAGGGUAGCCCGACAUACCUUGCAGGUAGCAAGAUCACAAUCAUUGCUUGCAUUAUAUGUCAUACAGCUCCCAGGCCAAUUAGGAUUCAGCACAGGGGUGGGUUUGAGAGGCUGAUAUAAUCCUUUGCACUGCAUUGCAGCCGUUAUAUUGUAGAGAAAGCUGGGAGAGAGUCAGUGCACAGAGAAACUACUGAUACUAGAAAGCCUAGAAAGCCUAAAUUUAAUAGAAAGCAAAUUAAGCAAAGCAUUAAGCAGUGGCCUGACCUCAGACAGUGACCUGCCACCUGAAUUCUUGUGUCCAGUUGGUGCACUACAAUUUGCAGCAGUGUCACUGCAGAACAAGCCCAUGAAAACUAUCACAUUACAAUACCUAGCAAG